AAAGACCAGAUGGAAGGGUAUAGACCACGUCGCACAGGGCUAGAUCGCUUUCUAGAAGGACAAGAACAGGUUUUAAUGACCACAUCCAAGAGCCUGCCAGGGCUCCUGUCUCCUUGCAGCCCUGACAGGACGGGGUUGCAUUAUUCUCGGCUAAUUUUUGUUAGUUUAAUAGGCACGUAAGGCCCUCCAGGCUGGAUACGUUGACAUUUCUUUUAUCGCAAGGGAGAAUCUCUACUGUCCCCAGCAACGACCUGCUCGUGGGCAUCUGGGGCACAGGCUGUCCCUCCACCACGGGCGCCCGUCCAGCUGGUGCCAAGUCCCAACACUGCCAAUAUAUGAGUAAGAGUGUGUGGCUGCCACCCGGGCGCCCCACCCCGUGUGGUUCCCUUGUGGCGGUUCUCUCGGCAUUUGUGGCAGAAGACAGCAUCACGCAAAUGUGCAUUGCUUCCAUUUGCCCCCAUUUAUCUUCUUGCUGACGACCUUCGCUGUCUCUUCCUUUCCUCCCUGCGAGGCCUCGCUGUUUCACCUUAGGAAAGCCCUUGGCCUCUCCGGGCUCGGUGUCCCACCUGUGCGAGGGGGAGGAGAUGACUCAGAACCCUUUCCAGGUCAGGUGCCCUGGGUUCUACUAUUCCACCAUCUCUAGGGCGAGGGAAGGAGCCCCGGCCUCCUUCCCCACAGCUCCACAGGCAGCAAUCCGUCUCCAACUGGGUCCAUUAACACCUUGCGAGAGGGCAGGCGGCUCAAGGACCUCCAUCUGUGCUCUGGAGGCCUUUCUCCUCAUAGGGCAGAGCACCACGACCAUGGCUUCAGGGGUUUGGCGCCAUCCCCUAGGCCAGUCCCCGUGCACCUCGCAGAGCCACGCGCAUCGGCUGAGGCGGAUUCCAGCCCUCUUCGCAUUCCUCAGACAGCGGGACAGACAGCAGAGCCUGGCCCUUUACCUCCACGCCACGCUGCCUCCUGUUUAAAACAAAAAACCGCCAAGAAACCCAACUCGGAAGAUUUGCAACCCAGGAAACUAACCAGAAAGCCUUGGGGGCCCAGACCCCGAAUAGAUUCAUCCUGCUUGGGCGCCGUCCUUAUCACAGGUCCCCAACCCUCCCCUCCGCACUGACAUUCACUGUGCGACGCGGCAGCUCCUGAGACGUCAGGUCGGCUCGUCCUGAGCUUGUGUUAGCCCUGGGCCGGGACGUCCGUGAAGUCACAGGCGGGCCUGGUGUAGGAAUCUCGUUUGCUCAUAAAUUAAGCCUGUAAUUAAUCACUUGCUUUCUGAGCGAGCUGUGUUUCUCCCUUUUCCCUUCUUUGUUCUCCCUGGGAAAGGUCUGGUGGGGGGCAGCUCCGUGGUCUGCUGGCUUCCCUCCAGCUGUUCCAUCCAUCUGGGACAACGGGCACCUCCAGCAUUGCUGAGUCAAACACGACGCCCAGGUUUGCUGCUCCCGCCAUUCCAAAGUCGGGGCAAAAGGCAGAAACCAAGCAUGGGUGAAAUUACCCCGGAAACUCUCCAGGAAGGGGUGGGGAGCCCAAUGCCACCACCUGUCUGUGGUUCCAGCCCACUGGCUUUCCUGCUGGGCCUGGGGUAGUCUUGGUUUCUCCAGUGGAGCCCACAUGAGAGGCCAUCUCUACACCUUGAGGUCCGGAGAGAUGCUCGGGGAUGGCAGACCCUCCCGUUGAGUGGAAAGGCAAGUGGGGUCACCCACACCACGUACAUCCUUCUUUCCUCUUUCCCCCUCUGUCUACAGGGCCCAUGUAGAUGACUGGAUUAUGCUGUGACUUCUCU
ensembl:lncRNA